UGGACUGACUGGUGUGAUGUAUGUAGAGGAUAUUAGAGGUGGACUGACUGGUGUGAUGUAUGUAGAGGAUAUUAGAGGUGGACUGACUGGUGUGAUGUAUGUAGAGGAUAUUAGAGGUGGACUGACUGGUGUGAUGUAUGUAGAGGAUAUUAGAGGUGGACUGACUGGUGUGAUGUAUGUAGAGGAUAUUAGAGGUGGACUGACUGGUGUGAUGUAUGUAGAGGAUAUUAGAGAUGGACUGACUGGUGUGAUGUAUGUAGAGGAUAUUAGAGGUGGACUGACUGGUGUGAUGUAUGUAGAGGAUAUUAGAGGUGGACUGACUGGUGUGAUGUAUGUAGAGGAUAUUAGAGGAGGGCUGUGUGUUAAUGAGUGUUUGUUUAGGCCCUGUGUACAGAGGCAGGGACACCCUCACAGCGUGGGGCAGAGUGUGAUGAAAUGUGCCUCCUCUCUCUCCUCCACUAGUUAAUUGACAUUCUAAGUCUCCUCUCUGUCUCUGAUAUUUGACCUUCCACCAUGUUCGUCCUCUCAUCAUCACCUGUUGUGUCGUCCUUCUCCUCUACCCUCCUCAUCCUCUACCCUCUUCAUCCUCUACCCUCCUCCUCUACCCUCCUCCUCCUCAUCCUCGACCCUCUUUAUCCUCUACUCUCCUCCUCUACCCUCCUCCUCCUCAUCCUCUACCCUCUUCAUCAUCUACCCUUCUCCUCCUCAUCCUCUACCCUCCUUCUCCUCAUUCCCCUACCCUCUUCAUCCUCUACCCUACUCCUCUACCCUCGUCCUCUAUCCUCCUCCUCAUCCUCUACCCUCCUCCUCUACCCUCCUCCUCCUCAUCCUCUACCC
rnacentral:lncRNA from 13 species